UGAAUACGAGAUGCUACGGCGUCGAAGCAGUGUAUGUCAGACUUCCAAGAAAAGCUCGCAAUGUCAUAAAUAAAGAAUGCCUGUACCAUAACCGACACAGGUGGGUAGGUAGAGUAUACUAAGGGGCGCGAGAUAACUCUCUCUAAGGAACUCGGCAAAAUAACUCCGUAACUUCGGGAGAAGGAGUGCCUUCUUUAAGAAGGUUGCAAUAACAAGAUCCAAGCAACUGUUUAUCAAAAACACAGGUCUCCGCUAAGUCGUAAGACGAUGUAUGGGGGCUGACGCCUGCCCAGUGCCAGAAGGUUAAAGAAGUUGGUUAGCUUUUGCGAAGCUGAUGACUGAAGCCCUGGUGAACGGCGGCCGUAACUAUAACGGUCCUAAGGUAGCGAAAUUCCUUGUCGGGUAAGUUCCGACCCGCACGAAAGGCGUAAUGAUUUGGAUACUGUCUCGGAGAGGGACUCGGUGAAAUAGACUUGUCUGUGAAGAUGCGGACUACCUGCACCAGGACAGAAAGACCCUAUGAAGCUUUACUGUAACUUGAAAUUGAAAUUGGACUUUAUUUGCGCAGUAUAGGUGGAAGGCGUUGAAAGUAAUCUUGCGGGAUUAGUGGAGCCAUCAGUGAGAUACCACUCCUAUAAUGUUAGAUUUCUAACUUUGGAUCAUGAUCUGGUCAAAGAACAGUUUCAGGCGGGCAGUUUGACUGGGGCGGUCGCCUCCCAAAUGGUAACGGAGGCGUACAAAGGUUUCCUCUGAACGGGUAGAAAUCGUAUCUAGAGUGUAAAGGCAUAAGGAAGCUUGACUGUGAGACCUACAAGUCGAGCAGGGACGAAAGUCGGUCUUAGUGAUCUGACGGUGCUGAGUGGAAAGGCCGUCACUCAACGGAUAAAAGUUACUCUAAGGAUAACAGGCUGAUCUCCCCCAAGAGUUCACAUCGACGGGGAGGUUUGGCACCUCGAUGUCGGCUCAUCGCAUCCUGGGGCGGUAGUACGUCCCAAGGGUUGGGCUGUUCGCCCAUGAAAGCGGUACGCGAGCUGGGUUCAGAACGUCGUGAGACAGUUCGGUCCAUAUCCGGUGUAGGCGUUAGAAUAUUGAGAGGAGCCUUCUUUAGUACGAGAGGACCGAGAAGGACAUACCUCUGGUGUACCAGUUAUCGUGCCAACGGUAAACGCUGGGUAGCUAUGUAUGGAGAGGAUAACCGCUGAAAGCAUCUAAGUGGGAAGCCCACCUCAAGAUGAGUAUUCCC
rnacentral:rRNA from 1 species